GUUUUGAGUGCAUCCCAAAAAGUAAAGUUUAAAGGGCUCUAAUACCAUAUUUUAUCAGUUUUUAAUUGUUGACUUUUGAUAAAGUAGCCUCUAUGGGGUAAAACAGUUCCUUCAGUUGCAGAGAAGCAGUUUGAGACUUUUCCUCAUUUCAUUAGCAGAAAACUGAAGGAAUGUUUAUGGUUCUAAAGCAAACAGAAUUUGAAACAAAUUUAUAAGCGUUUGCAAAUUUUGAGCAGCUAGGAACUUUUAUUUCUUCUGGUUUGGAGCAGAGAAUGGAACACAGCAGCAUGUUGUGGGAUCUGGUUCUCAGCCUUCUCAAAGGGAAGCAGAAGGUAUUAUUCUCAAGGAGCUGUUUUUAGCAGACAGCAGUUUAUUCCUAACCCUGGCAAGAUUAAGCUCUCCCUUUCUGUUGCCCUUUUGGCCUGCAGCUGCUGACAACGACAUGAGAAAUUGGCUGAAGUGCUCGAUGAAGCAGUCAAGCUGGGACUGUGUAUCCAUCUCUUACAUGAGGCUCUUUGCCUAAAGCAUCUAUCACCUCUGUCCAGCUUCUGGAAACUCCUGGGAUAGGAGAGCAAACCAGUCAAGAUCAUGAUGUAUUAAAUGAAGCAUGUAUAAAACCUGGAUGCAGAGACCUCUAUUCAUGUCCAACGCCUUUCCUGGGAAUGGCAGCAGGGGCACUUUAAUAGCAGGAGCUGCAAUCAGGUCUCAGGAUUCAGCAGUUGACCUCUUGCCCAUUUGUCUUUUGCAACAUCCAAGUUUCUCAUGGUCAGCUGAGCCCCAUGGACAACAACUCUGCCGACGUGUACCUGGCAACUGUGGGGAGUCACAAAGGCUCUGUGGUGAGACAGCUUGCUUACUGCAUGUGCCAGGAGAAGCAGCCAUGAUUCCUGACAUCUUGCACUGGGAGGAGUAAGAGGCCAGCUCCCCAGAGCUGGAAUGGGAGGAAGGACAUUGCCAAAGAGUGGCUUUUUCCCUGCUGGGAAGGAAAUUCCAACCAUUUUUUAUGGUGAGUUGAUUUUUGCACUUCACAAAACGUGACCAUCUUAUCAAGACUAGUAACCUGCAGUUAAUGCACCUACUUGUGUGUUCAAGAGAAUAAAUUCACUCAAGUCAGAAUUUUGACUGUAAAC
rnacentral:lncRNA from 1 species